CCUACGGGGGGCAGCAGUGAGGAAUAGUGGUCAAUGGACGCAAGUCUGAACCAGCCAUGCCGCGUGCAGGAUGACGGCUCUAUGAGUUGUAAACUGCUUUUGUACGAGGGUAAACCCCGAUACGUGUAUCGGGUUGAAAGUAGCGUACGAAUAAGGAUCGGCUCCCUCCGUGCCAGCAGCCGCGGUAAUACGGAGGAGCCGAGCGUUAUCCGGAGUUAUUGGGUUUAAAGGGUGCGUAGGCGGUUUGCUAAGUUAGAGGGGACAUGUCGGGGCUCAACCCCGAAACUGCCUCUUAUACUGUUGGACUUGCGCAUAGUUGCGGUAGGCGGAAUGUCUUGUGUAGCGGU
rnacentral:rRNA from 1 species